rnacentral:rRNA from 1 species
GACGAACGCUGGCGGUGUGCUUAACACAUGCAAGUCGAACGGAGAAUGUAGCAAUACGUUCUUAGUGGCGAACGGGUGAGUAACGCGUUGGUGACCUGCCCCGAAGAGGGGGAUAACAGUCCGAAAGGAUUGCUAAUACCCCAUGUGGUCAUUGGGAUUUGAUGCCCAUUGAUUAAAGGUGAAAACCACUUCGGGAGGGGCCUGCGUCCCAUCAGCUAGUUGGUAGGGUAAUGGCCUACCAAGGCGAUGACGGGUAGGGGACCUGAGAGGGUGGCCCCCCACAAUGGAACUGAAACACGGUCCAUACACCUACGGGUGGCAGCAGUGAGGAAUAUUGGUUAAUGUGCGAAAGCGUGAACCAGCAACACCGCGUGUGCGAUGACGGCCUUCGGGUUGUAAAGCACUUUUAGAGGAGACGAGAAGGGACGGUAUCCUCUGAAUAAGCCUCGGCUAACUACGUGCCAGCAGCCGCCGUAACAC